rnacentral:rRNA from 1 species
CCGGCGAUGUCCGAAUGGGGAAACCCAGUGCAAUUCGUUGCACUAUCGUUAACUGAAUACAUAGGUUAACGAGGCGAACCGGGGGAACUGAAACAUCUAAGUACCCCGAGGAAAAGAAAUCAACCGAGAUUCCCCCAGUAGCGGCGAGCGAACGGGGAGCAGCCCAGAGUCUGAAUCAGCUUGUGUGUUAGUGGAACGGUCUGGAAAGUCCGACGGUACAGGGUGAUAGUCCCGUACACCAAAAUGCACAGGUUGUGAACUCGAAGAGUAGGGCGGGACACGUGGUAUCCUGUCUGAAUAUGGGGGGACCAUCCUCCAAGGCUAAAUACUCCUGACUGACCGAUAGUGAACCAGUACCGUGAGGGAAAGGCGAAAAGAACCCCGGCGAGGGGAGUGAAAAAGAACCUGAAACCGUGUACGUACAAGCAGUGGGAGCACCUUCGGGUGUGACUGCGUACCUUUUGUAUAAUGGGUCAGCGACUUAUAUUCUGUAGCAAGGUUAACCGUAUAGGGGAGCCGCAGGGAAACCGAGUCUUAACUGGGCGUUAAGUUGCAGGGUAUAGACCCGAAACCCGGUGAUCUAGCCAUGGGCAGGUUGAAGGUUGGGUAACACUAACUGGAGGACCGAACCGACUAAUGUUGAAAAAUUAGCGGAUGACUUGUGGCUGGGGGUGAAAGGCCAAUCAAACCGGGAGAUAGCUGGUUCUCCCCGAAAGCUAUUUAGGUAGCGCCUCGUGAACUCAUCUUCGGGGGUAGAGCACUGUUUCGGCUAGGGGGUCAUCCCGACUUACCAACCCGAUGCAAACUACGAAUACCGAAGAAUGUUAUCACGGGAGACACACGGCGGGUGCUAACGUCCGUCGUGAAGAGGGAAACAACCCAGACCGCCAGCUAAGGUCCCAAAGUCAUGGUUAAGUGGGAAACGAUGUGGGAAGGCACAGACAGCCAGGAUGUUGGCUUAGAAGCAGCCAUCAUUUAAAGAAAGCGUAAUAGCUCACUGGUCGAGUCGGCCUGCGCGGAAGAUGUAACGGGGCUAAACCAUGCACCGAAGCUGCGGCAGCGACACUAUGUGUUGUUGGGUAGGGGAGCGUUCUGUAAGCCUGCGAAGGUGACCUGUGAGGGUUGCUGGAGGUAUCAGAAGUGCGAAUGCUGACAUAAGUAACGAUAAAGCGGGUGAAAAGCCCGCUCGCCGGAAGACCAAGGGUUCCUGUCCAACGUUAAUCGGGGCAGGGUGAGUCGACCCCUAAGGCGAGGCCGAAAGGCGUAGUCGAUGGGAAACAGGUUAAUAUUCCUGUACUUGGUGUUACUGCGAAGGGGGGACGGAGAAGGCUAUGUUAGCCGGGCGACGGUUGUCCCGGUUUAAGCAUGUAGGCUGGUUGUCCAGGCAAAUCCGGAUAAUCAAGGCUGAGGUGUGAUGACGAGGCACUACGGUGCUGAAGUAACAAAUGCCCUGCUUCCAGGAAAAGCCUCUAAGCAUCAGGUAACAUCAAAUCGUACCCCAAACCGACACAGGUGGUCAGGUAGAGAAUACCAAGGCGCUUGAGAGAACUCGGGUGAAGGAACUAGGCAAAAUGGUGCCGUAACUUCGGGAGAAGGCACGCUGGUGUGUAGGUGAAGUCCCUGCGGAUGGAGCUGAGACCAGUCGAAGAUACCAGCUGGCUGCAACUGUUUAUUAAAAACACAGCACUGUGCAAACACGAAAGUGGACGUAUACGGUGUGACGCCUGCCCGGUGCCGGAAGGUUAAUUGAUGGGGUUAUCCGUAAGGAGAAGCUCUUGAUCGAAGCCCCGGUAAACGGCGGCCGUAACUAUAACGGUCCUAAGGUAGCGAAAUUCCUUGUCGGGUAAGUUCCGACCUGCACGAAUGGCGUAAUGAUGGCCAGGCUGUCUCCACCCGAGACUCAGUGAAAUUGAACUCGCUGUGAAGAUGCAGUGUACCCGCGGCAAGACGGAAAGACCCCGUGAACCUUUACUAUAGCUUGACACUGAACAUUGAGCCUUGAUGUGUAGGAUAGGUGGGAGGCUUUGAAGCGUGGACGCCAGUCUGCGUGGAGCCAACCUUGAAAUACCACCCUUUAAUGUUUGAUGUUCUAACGUUGGCCCCUUACCGGGGUUGCGGACAGUGUCUGGUGGGUAGUUUGACUGGGGCGGUCUCCUCCCAAAGCGUAACGGAGGAGCACGAAGGUUAGCUAAUCCUGGUCGGACAUCAGGAGGUUAGUGCAAUGGCAUAAGCUAGCUUGACUGCGAGCGUGACGGCGCGAGCAGGUGCGAAAGCAGGUCAUAGUGAUCCGGUGGUUCUGAAUGGAAGGGCCAUCGCUCAACGGAUAAAAGGUACUCCGGGGAUAACAGGCUGAUACCGCCCAAGAGUUCAUAUCGACGGCGGUGUUUGGCACCUCGAUGUCGGCUCAUCACAUCCUGGGGCUGAAGUAGGUCCCAAGGGUAUGGCUGUUCGCCAUUUAAAGUGGUACGCGAGCUGGGUUUAGAACGUCGUGAGACAGUUCGGUCCCUAUCUGCCGUGGGCGCUGGAGAAUUGAGGGGGGCUGCUCCUAGUACGAGAGGACCGGAGUGGACGCAUCACUGGUGUUCGGGUUGUCAUGCCAAUGGCACUGCCCGGUAGCUAAAUGCGGAAGAGAUAAGUGCUGAAAGCAUCUAAGCACGAAACUUGCCCCGAGAUGAGUUCUCCCUGAGACUUUAAGUCUCCUGAAGGAACGUUAAAGACGAUGACGUUGAUAGGCCGGGUGUGUAAGCGCAGCGAUGCGUUGAGCUAACCGGUACUAAUGAACCGUGAGGCUUAACCUUACAACGCCGAAG